GGCUAGGCGGGAGUCCUCUUCCUCCCUCACCACCCCAUGUGCCUCCCUUCCGAAGCUGCACACUUGGUUGAAGAGGACGACCAUCCCCAACAGAGGAGGACUGGUCUUGGGUCAAGGGUAUAUGAGUAGCUGCACUCCCCUGCUGGAACCCCCAAACAAGCUCUGAGGUCUUUUCUACCUCUGACACCAUACGAGGCUCUAACAUUGUGUUAAAAUAAUUAGUUGGGAGGUCAUUAGAGUGAGGUGGCUCCAGCACUCUGGGUUGCUACGUAAGCAAACCAAAACCCAG
rnacentral:sRNA from 1 species